GUCCAAAUCCAAGUAUGAGGAAACAGAUGUUCAGAAUUGUGGUUCGCGAAAUGAUGAAAGUAACCACGUCAUUAAGUAAAAAGAAUGCUACUGAUGUGGCUAGGAAAUUAGUGGCAAAAUACCCCAAGUCACUACAAGAUGUCAUUGAAGGCGACAUAAUUGGCACAGGGUAUGGCUCCCUCGUGAAACAAAUUCAAAAUCGGAUCGAAAAUGUGAAAAGACCUACAACACCAAAAAUCAAGAAAAGAACUUCACAUGACUCGGACACUGACAAAAUCCCCCCUGAAAAACGGGCAGCGAUUCAAGACACCUAUGGGUGCAUCCGUUGGCAUGUCAAGUUUCUGCCCCUUGGAGAAAUGGCCGAAAGCCAGCAGCAGAAGAAAGAGGAGCUUAAAAAUCUGUUUAGCCAGAAUGAAGAAAGCCCAGGUCCUUUGAAAAUGCUUAUGAAGUCCACAUUCUACAGCCAGCGACAAGAUGUGAACCAAGGGAAAGACAUGAAGUACCUCCUGGAAAACUGGCCAUAUUGGUUUCAUGAAAUUGGCAUGAUUGUUCACUUUAACGAGCUCACUGGAGUUGACCUAAAGGAAACCUUCCUGAAAAAUGUGGAACAGAAGGGGGAAAGGCUCUUGCACUUCCUGAAGACAGUUGCUGUCAACAAAUCCAAAAGAUUCUAUCAAGCUGCAACAAAGCUACAAAUGAUGAGGGGAGAACACUCAGGCUACACACAGGUCACAGAGAUGGUGCUGCUUCUUCUAGAUUAUUUUCAUACGGGUUUUUCAUACAAUCUUGUUUUCACGCUUGACACGAGUUAGUGACUGACAUGUUAAAAUGUAAACUUAAUUUCUGGAAUAUUUUUAUUUUUACUUUUUUUUUAAGGACAAUCCUGCUAUUCCUCCAGAAGGAUGAUGCUGAGUCUGGAUCAAGUCAUCGUGAACGAGAACAUCUCUUCCUUUAUCUCGUCCUUGUGCAUGAUGUUUGGCAGUUAUUACUGCUUUAACAUCCAUUAUCCAACUGCGCUUGCAUCAACCCUGGAAUUUCUUCAGAGAUGUUUCUUCUCUAUUAAUCCAGAGAGGGGGAUGAAAGUGGAGCGAACAAAUGCUAUGUGGUUGCAUGUUAAUCCAAGAGUUCUUACCUUGAUUCAGGACCUCUCCAACCAUGAAUGGCGAGCCAUUUAAAAAGAUGUUCUUCUCGAGUUUGUUUCUAUUAAUCCGGGGAAGGGGAUGCACAAAAGCAAUGCGGUUGCACGUUAAUCCAAGUUUCCUUACCUUGAGUCAGGACCUCUCCGACCGUGAUUGGCGAGCUGUUUAAAAAGAACUGAGAGACGAUCACCUAAUGGAGGCUGAAGAUGGAUAUUUUCAGAAGCACAAGAGAUGGAACUCAUCAACAUGAUCAUAUGGCCCUUUUCUACUACCCUUUUUCAGCUCGCUUCAGCCCGACACGGCUCGCAUUUCGACUAUCCAAAAACAGCAUGACUUGGCUCGCUUCAGCCCUGCUUAGCCCCCAAAACUCGCACGGUUUUGGAGUGGGGCUGAAGCGAGCCAAACCGAGCUGAGUGAGGCUAGGGGCGUGAGGAGACACUCCCCUGCACGCUGAUUGGUGAGGAGGAGUGUCCUCACACGCCCACACACGCCCCACGAGCACGCUGGGAUCUGUAAACACCGUAAACCCGGAAGAAGAAGAAUUACGAGAAUUAUGAAGCCGAAUGCGCCUCGCCUCAUCUAUACGCUCUUGCCAGUAUCUGUUGGCGUUGUCAGUGACAACAAGCCACAGCACCAAGACCAGCAACACUAACGACUCCAUGUCCUCCAUGUUUAUUGUUUACUAUCUGGGUUGCGAGACUACCGCUUAAAAGGUCACUGAUGUCACUGUUUGCGCCGCCUAACGACAUCACCUGACGUCCACCCACUUUCGCUAACUCCACCAAAUGUGUCCACCCACUUCCAGCCAGCACGGUUCAGCGCGGUUGUAGUCGAAAUGCAACUCCAACAGCCCCACUCGGCUCGACUCAGCCCAACUCAGCACGGCACGGCUCAGCCGCAUUGGUAGUGGAAAAGCGGCAAUAGAUCAUCAGGGAAUAUACCAAGGUGGUGAUGCAGUCAGCGUCUCAAUGACAGACCGCGUUCUUUGAUGGAACAGGCUGAGGAUGAAACAGGCCUAUCGUCUUCUUUUCAAAAUGAACUCUGAUAGAGUCAAAGACCAGCGCUUGGAAUAUGUGCGAGGAUGGUUUCUCAGACUGUAUCAGGUCUUUGCAGAGGCUCCAACCAAGCUCAGUGAAAGAGAGGGAGAUCUCCCUACACUCACCCCAGAAAAUAGGGAGAAUUUUUUAAACCUUGAAUGACACACACAAAGCUACAGCAAGAUGCUAAAUGAUACACAUAACGGUACAAAUGAUUAAAAUGUACAAACAAACAAGAUUUCUGUAUCAAAAUAACAUCUAUUUAUUCAAAUUUUGUUAUUUGUCAGUUGGGUGAAGUACAAUCAUA